rnacentral:pre_miRNA from 1 species
GUUUAUUUUUGAGUAAGUUGGUCAAUUGGCAAAUAGAAUAUUGACACGCAGGCGAAGUUCUGUGUAUUAGCAUUCUAUUGACCAAUUGACUAAUUUACUCAAAAAUAAAC